rnacentral:piRNA from 1 species
CUUCUGCUUUAAUGCUCUCCCAACUCCUGU